rnacentral:rRNA from 1 species
UUUAUGGAGAGUUUGAUCCUGGCUCAGGAUGAACGCUGGCGGCGUGCCUAAUACAUGCAAGUCGAGCGAACGGACGAGAAGCUUGCUUCUCUGAUGUUAGCGGCGGACGGGUGAGUAACACGUGGAUAACCUACCUAUAAGACUGGGAUAACUUCGGGAAACCGGAGCUAAUACC